rnacentral:rRNA from 1 species
GACGAACGCUGGCGGCGUGCUUAGCACAUGCAAGUCGAACGGAAAGGCCCUGCUUGCAGGGUACUCGAGUGGCGAACGGGUGAGUAACACGUGGGUGAUCUGCCCUGCACUUCGGGAUAAGCCUGGGAAACUGGGUCUAAUACCGGAUAGGAGCCAUUUUUAGUGUGAUGGUUGGAAAGUUUUUUCGGUGUAGGAUGAGCUCGCGGCCUAUCAGCUUGUUGGUGGGGUAAUGGCCUACCAAGGCGGCGACGGGUAGCCGGCCUGAGGGGGUGGACGGCCACAUUGGGACUGAGAUACGGCCCAGACUCCGACGGGAGGCAGCAGUGGGGAAUAUUGCACAAGGGGCGCAAGCCUGAUGCAGAGACGCCGCGUGGGGGAUGACGGCCUUCGGGUUGUAAACUCCUUUCGCUAGGGACGAAGCUUUUUGUGACGGUACCUAGAUAAGAAGCACCGGCUAACUACGUG